rnacentral:rRNA from 1 species
UAAACGACUCUCGGCAACGGAUAUCUCGGCUCACGCAUCGAUGAAGAACGUAGCAAAAUGCGAUACUUGGUGUGAAUUGCAGAAUCCCGUGAACCAUCGAGUUUUUGAACGCAAGUUGCGCCCGAAGCCUUCUGGCUGAGGGCACGUUCUGCCUGGGCGUCACG